UUUCGUAGGUGAACCUGCGGAAGGAUCAUUA
rnacentral:ncRNA from 4 species